UACAGAGGUCCCAAGCGUUGUUCGGAUUCACUGGGCGUAAAGGGUGCGUAGGUGACCGGUUAAGUCUGACGUGAAAUCUCCGAGCCUAACUCGGAAACUGCAUCGGAAACUAUCCGGCUCGAGGGUUGGAGGGGGGACUGGAAUACUUGGUGUAGCAGUGAAAUGCGUAGAUAUCAAGUGGAACACCAGUGGCGAAGGCGAGUCCCUGGACAACUCCUGACACUGAGGCACGAAAGCUAGGGGAGCAAACAGG
rnacentral:rRNA from 1 species